rnacentral:rRNA from 1 species
GACGAACGCUGGCGGCGUGCCUAAUACAUGCAAGUGGGACGCAAGAGAACACGCUGUGCUUGCACACCGUGUUUUCUGGAGUCGCGAACGGGUGAGUAACGCGUAGGUAACCUGCCUAUUAGCGGGGGAUAACCAUUGGAAACGAUAGCUAAUACUGCAUAAUAUUAAUUAUUGCCUGAUGAUUGAUUGAAAGAUGCAAGCGCAUCACUAGUAGAUGGACCUGGGUUGUAUUAGCUAGUUGGUAAGGUAAGAGCUUACCAAGGCGACGAUACAUAGCCGACCUGAGAGGGUGAUCGGCCACACUGGGACUGAGACACGGCCCAGACUCCUACGGGAGGCAGCAGUAGGGAAUCUUCGGCAAUGGACGAAAGUCUGACCGAGCAACGCCGCGUGAGUGAAGAAGGUUUUCGGAUCGUAAAGCUCUGUUGUAAGUCAAGAACGUGUGUGAGAGUGGAAAGUUCACACAGUGACGGUAGCUUACCAGAAAGGGACGGCUAACUACGUGCCAGCCGCCGCGGUAA